rnacentral:rRNA from 1 species
UACGUAGGGGGCUAGCGUUGUCCGGAUUUAUUGGGCGUAAAGAGCGUGUAGGCGGCCAGAUAGGUCUGCUGUGAAAACUCGAGGCUCAACCUCGAGAUGUCGGCGGAAACCAUUUGGCUAGAGUCCGGAAGAGGAAAGUGGAAUUCCUGGUGUAGCGGUGAAAUGCGUAGAUAUCUGGAGGAACACCGGUGGCGAAGGCGGCAUCCUGGACCGGCAUUGACGCUGAACAGCGAAAGCCAGGGGAGCAAACGGG